GUUUUCUCUUUUCAACAAACUGCAUUCUUCUCUAGUGCAUUGCUCCCCUUCAGGAAAUUUUUGAAGUGAAGUAUCCAGUUGGGCGAAUCAACUUCACAAUGUCACUGCUCGUCUUAAGAUGUACACGUUUCUAAGAGUACUGGAUUCGGUGGUGUAAUUUCAAACCCCCCUAUCAGAUUGAUAUGCUAUUAUGAUAACAUUGAGCGCAUGUGAUAUGUAGAGUGAGUCUACUUCAUUUGGUGGAUGUGAGAAUAUGAUCAGAUGGCAGCAAUACAAAUCACCAAGCAAAUA